AAAAGUCUGUUUGGAUUUGGUUAUAUUUUUUAUAUUUUCCUUUUCUAAUUUCACUUUAUUAAGACGAAAUUAUAAAUUUGACGUUUGGUAAAAUUGAGUUUCAAAAAACAUUUGUUAUCCAUGUAAGUUAGCUGGUUUAACUUGUUGUUAGACUACAUGUUAGGGUUAGUUAUUACUGAGGGCACUUCAUGCUAAUGCAAGUUCUUCAAAUCGUGUCAAAUCACAAAGGGUAUAUAUGUAUGUAUAUAUAUGUAAAUGCAUGAAAAAUACAACAACUGGACACGAAGGUCGCGUCCUUGUGAGUCAACGACGCACACGAAAUCCUUCGAGUGCGCAUACAAUAUUUAGAUAUUACGAUAGAAUUUUCAUAGCGUUACACUUAGGAUUAAACACAAAUAGUACAAAGUGCUUGAAUUCAACAUUCAAUUUAGAUCUCAUAUGAUAGUCACGCCAAUUGGGUUAGUUUCACUUCUUUAGUUAGGAUUAGGAUUGUUUAGAUUCGUUU